rnacentral:rRNA from 1 species
AUUGAACGCUGGCGGCAUGCCUUACACAUGCAAGUCGAACGGUAACAGGUCUUCGGAUGCUGACGAGUGGCGAACGGGUGAGUAAUACAUCGGAACGUGCCUAGUAGUGGGGGAUAACUACUCGAAAGAGUGGCUAAUACCGCAUGAGAUCUACGGAUGAAAGCAGGGGAUCGCAAGACCUUGUGCUACUAGAGCGGCCGAUGGCAGAUUAGGUAGUUGGUGGGAUAAAAGCUUACCAAGCCGACGAUCUGUAGCUGGUUUGAGAGGACGAUCAGCCACACUGGGACUGAGACACGGCCCAGACUCCUACGGGAGGCAGUAGUGGGGAAUGUUGGACAAUGGGCGAAAGCCUGAUCCAGCAAUGCCGCGUGCAGGAUGAAGGCCUUCGGGUUGUAAACUGCUUUUGUACGGAACGAAAAGCCCCGGGUUAAUACCCUGGGGUCAUGACGGUACCGUAAGAAUAAGCACCGGCUAACUACGUGCCAGCCGCCGCAGUAA